rnacentral:rRNA from 1 species
AUUGAACGCUGGCGGCAGGCUUAACACAUGCAAGUCGAGCGGGGGAAGGUAGCUUGCUACCGGACCUAGCGGCGGACGGGUGAGUAAUGCUUAGGAAUCUGCCUAUUAGUGGGGGACAACAUCUCGAAAGGGAUGCUAAUACCGCAUACGUCCUACGGGAGAAAGCAGGGGAUCUUCGGACCUUGCGCUAAUAGAUGAGCCUAAGUCGGAUUAGCUAGUUGGUGGGGUAAAGGCCUACCAAGGCGACGAUCUGUAGCGGGUCUGAGAGGAUGAUCCGCCACACUGGGACUGGGACACGGCCCAGACGCCUGCGGGGGGCAGCAGUGGGGAAUAUUGGACAAUUGGGGGAACCCUGAUCCAGCCAUGCCGCGUGUGUGAAGAAGGCCUUAUGGUUGUAAAGCACUUUAAGCGAGGAGGAGGCUACUUUAGUUAAUACCUAGAGAUAGUGGACGUUACUCGCAGAAUAAGCACCGGCUAACUCUGUGCCAGCAGCCGCCGUAA